rnacentral:miRNA from 1 species
CAUACAUUAACAGCUUAUAGGAUGUAUAGCAUCAUCUCUGACUUUUUUUUGUCAGAGAUGAUGCUAUACAUCCUAUAAGCUGUUAAUGUAUG